rnacentral:rRNA from 1 species
CGGGUUGUAAAAUCCUUUUCCGGGGGGAAGAAUCCAUGACGGUACCUUCGGGAAUAAGUCCCGGCCUAACUACGUGCCAGCAGCCGCGGUUAAAACUUAGGGGCAGAGCGUUAUCCGGAUUUACUGGGCGUAAAGCGCACGUAGACGGCGCUGUAAGUUGGGCGUGAAAGCUCCCGGCUCAACUGGGAGAGGUCGUUCAAAACUGCAGUGCUUGAGGUUGGAAGAGGAGAGUGGAAUUCCCGGUGUACUGGUGGAAUGCGUAGAUAUCGGGAGGAACACCAGUGGCGAAGGCGGCUCUCUGGUACAACCCUGACGCUGAGGUGCGAAAGCGUGGGGAGCGAACGGGAUUAGAUACCCCGGUAGUCCACGCUGUAAACGAUGGAUACUAGGUGUGGGAGGUUACUUACCCCUUCCGUGCCGUAGCUAACGUGAUAAGUAUCCCGCCUGGGGACUACGGCCGCAAGGUUAAAACUCAAAGGAAUUGACGGGGGCCCGCACAAGCAGCGGAGCGUGUGGUUUAAUUCGAUGAUACGCGAAGAACCUUACCUGGGCUUGACAUGUUGGUAGUAGUGAAGCGAAAGCGGAUCGACCCUUCGGGGAGCCAUCACAGGUGCUGCAUGGCUGUCGUCAGCUCGUGUCGUGAGAUGUUGGGUUAAGUCCCGCAACGAGCGCAACCCUUGUCGUUAGUUACAUGUGUCUAGCGAGACUGCCGGUACCAAACCGGAGGAAGGUGGGGAUGACGUCAAGUCAGCAUGGUCUUUAUGUCCAGGGCUACACACACGCUACAAUGGCCGGUACAAUAGGUUGCCACACCGCGAGGUGGAGCUAAUCCCCAAAGCCGGUCUCAGUUCGGAUUGUAGUCUGCAACUCGACUGCAUGAAGGCGGAGUUGCUAGUAACCGCGCGUCAGCAAUAGUGCGGUGAAUGCGUUCCCGGGCCUUGUACACACCGCCCGUCACAUCACGGAAGUCGGUAACACCUGACGUCGGCGACCCAACCGCAAGGAGGGAGCUGCCUAAGGUGGGAUCGUAAACUGGGA